AGAGUUUGAUCCUGGCUCAGGAUGAACGCUAGCUACAGGCUUAACACAUGCAAGUCGAGGGGCAGCAUGUUGGUUGCUUUGCAACCAAUGAUGGCGACCGGCGCACGGGUGAGUAACGCGUAUCCAACCUACCCUUGUCCGAUCCGGAUAACCCGUCGAAAGGCGGCCUAACACGAUAUGCGGUUCACAGCAGGCAUCUAAGGUGAACGAAAUGUGAAGGAGAAGGAUGGGGAUGCGUCUGAUUAGCUUGUUGGCGGGGUAACGGCCCACAAGGCGACGAUCAGUAGGGGUUCUGAGAGGAAGGUCCCCCCACAUUGGAACUGAGACACGGUCCAAACUCCUACGGGAGCA
rnacentral:rRNA from 1 species